UACAAUGGGUGAUACAGAGGGCCGGCCGCUGGCAACAUCGGUCCAAUCCUUAAAGUCAUCCUCAGUUCGGACUGGGGUCUGCAACCCGACCCCACGAAGCUGGAUUCGCUAGUAAUCGCGCAUCAGCCAUGGCGCGGUGAAUACGUUCCCGGGCCUUGUACACACCGCCCGUCAAGCCAUGAAAGCCGGGGGCGCCUGAAGUCCGUGACCGCGAGGGUCGGCCUAGGGUGAAACCGGUGAUUGGGGCUAAGUCGUAACAAGGUAAC
rnacentral:rRNA from 1 species